rnacentral:rRNA from 1 species
AUUGAACGCUGGCGGCAGGCUUAACACAUGCAAGUCGAACGAGUGGCGGACGGGUGAGUAAUGCUUGGGAAUCUCGCUUAUGGAGGGGGAUAACUACUGGAAACUGUAGCUAAUACCGCGUACCAUAGGAUGAGCCCAAGUGGGAUUAGGUAGUUGGUGCGGUAAAGGCUCACCAAGCCGACGAUCCCUAGCUGGUCUGAGAGGAUGACCAGCCCCACUGGGACUGAGACACGGCCCAGACUCCUACGGGAGGCAGCAGUGGGGAAUAUUGCGCAAGGGGCGCAAGCCUGACGCAGCCAUGCCGCGUGUAUGAAGAAGGCCUUCGGGUUGUAAAGUACUUUCAGUCGGGAGGCGUUACCCACAGAAGAAGCACCGGCUAACUCCGUGCCAGCAGCCGCGGUAAUAC